rnacentral:rRNA from 1 species
CAGCCGCCACGGUAAUACGAAGGGGGCUAGCGUUGCUCGGAAUGACUGGGCGUAAAGGGCGCGUAGGCGGCGGACACAGUCAGGCGUGAAAUUCCUGGCUCAACCUGGGGGCUGCGCUUGAUACGUGUUGGCUAGAGUGUGGAAGAGGGUUGUGGAAUUCCCAGUGUAGAGGUGAAAUUCGUAGAUAUUGGGAAGAACACCGGUGGCGAAGGCGGCAACCUGGUCCAUGACUGACGCUGAGGCGCGAAAGCGUGGGGAGCAAACAGGAUUAGAUACCCCUGUAGUCCCUGUCUCUUAUACA